rnacentral:RNase_P_RNA from 1 species
GGGAGGAAGCUUGCCAUAGAGGCCACGUGCUGGGUGUUUGUCACUCAUCUUGCGCCUCUGGGAAGGUCUGAGAGAAGGGCCAUGUACUAUCCUAGCAGGAUGCCACUUCUUGGAGGUGGGUGAGUUCCCAGCGAUGUGGGUCUCCGGCACAGCCUGCGAUCGGGGCAGGCGAAGCGAUGGAAGGGCUCACUCCUUUCCGCACGGAUGCCUCUGUGGCGUGAUGGGGAUUUGGGAAUGACUCACAGCCAGCAACUAUGAGUAUAAAGAAAAAAAAACAAAAACAAAAAGACAUGAAGAUGCACCAUAACAGUGCUCCUAAGACAUAGGAUAUGCAUUAUCCUGCAUCCU